rnacentral:rRNA from 1 species
UACAGAGGGGGCAAGCGUUAUUCGGAAUUAUUGGGCGUAAAGGGCGCGUAGGCGGCCUGGCAAGUGGAAGGUGAAAUCCCUCGGCUUAACCGAGGAACUGCCUCCCAAACUGCUUGGCUUGAGACCGGGAGAGGUGAGUGGAAUUCCCAGUGUAGCGGUGAAAUGCGUAGAUAUUGGGAGGAACACCAGUGGCGAAGGCGGGUUGCUGGGCUGAUACUGACGCUGAGGCGCGAAAGCCAGGGGAGCGAACGGG